AGCUCCAAUAGCGUAUAUUAAAGUUGUUGCAGUUAAAAAGCUCGUAGUUGGAUUUCUGGUGUGCUAUGCUCAGUCUGCCAUCGCAAGAUGGUAAGUACCGAUGCGUGGCUACCAUCCUUCUAGAGAACGGGUUGACCCUUCAUUGGGCCCAGCUCGCGAUCUAGAUCUUUUACUUUGAAAAAAUUAGAGUGUUUAAAGCAGGCUUUUGCUAUGAAUACAUUAGCAUGGAAUAAUAAUUUAGGACUUUGGUUCUAUUUUGUUGGUUUCUAGGACUGAAGUAAUGAUUGAUAGGGAUAGUUGGGGGUGCUAGUAUUCAGCGGCCAGAGGUGAAAUUCUUGGAUUCGCUGAAGACUAACUUAUGCGAAAGCAUUCACCAAGGAUGUCUUCU
rnacentral:rRNA from 1 species